UGGCAGCUAAGUGUCAGUUUCAGGGACCGUCUGGUAAAGCAGUGUUCACAGACUGGGUGUCCAGACAUGGGACUGGGUUAUGAGGUGGAGUAGAAGGCUCUUGAGAGCAGCAAUAUGCCAGGAAAAAUAGGAAACUUUCCAAAGGAAAACAAUAACAACAACAACAACAACAACAACAACAACAGACACCCAGUGAGUCUUAAGUGCCUCUGAGAAAGUAGAGUUGAAGAGGGAGCAAACAAAAUUAAGAGAUCAGCCCUGCAAUCCAGAAACUCAGCUGAUGACCAGUGGUAAGAUGAGGGGAGUGGGGGAAGGGACAAGUUUAAAACCCCAGAUGCUCCAAAUAUGGAUUAAAAGCAGUUGCAGGCUGGGCGCAGUGGCUCACGCCUAUAAACCCAGCACUUUGGGAGGCCGAGGUGGGCGGAUCACCUGAGGUCAGGAGUUCGAGACCAGCCUGACUAACAUGGUGAAAUCCUGUCUCUGUACUAAAAAUACAAAAAAUUAGCCAGGUGUGGUGGUGCAAGCCUGUAAUCCCAGCUACUCUGGAGGCUGAGGCAGGAGAAGUGCUUGAACCUGGAAGGCAGAAGUUGCCGUGAGCCGAGGCCUCGCCAUUGUACUCCAGCCUGGGCAACAAGAGCGAAACUCCGUAUCAAAAAAAAAAAAAAAAAAAUUGCAGGUUUGUGACAGCCCCCAACUCUUUGACAAAGUGAAUAAAAAUCAUCUCUGGAGGAAGAAUUCUUGAUUUAAGCCCAAACAUUUUUCAACCAAUGAAUUUCAGCAAAAUAUCAGUUCAUGAUCAAAGAUCACCAAAACCAUAUAGAAGAAAAAAGAAUAAGAUUCCACACAAACAAUAAGCAACACACUUAGACCACUAAUGACUUCAGUUGUUAGAACACCAGCUAGGAAAUAGAAAAUAUGGAUGAAAUGUUCAAAGAGAUAAAAGAUAAAGCCACAAAGAUGAGUUAGGUCAUGAGACUAUAAAAUAUGCUAAGGUAGCUAUAAAAAAUAAUUUAAAAUUCAAUGAGACCAGGUAGCAGUAAUCCAUUUCCAAACAACAUUACAGAGCUGGGGAAAGAAUCAACUAUCCACCAGCAGUAGAAUGAAUACAUUAUGGGCAAUAGAAUACCGUGCAUUAUUGAAAACGAUCCAACUAGAGCUAUAUGUUACAAUACGAAUGCAUCUCUCAAUACUAAACUAAGGAAACGAGAUCGUCAAGAAUAAAAAUAAUAGGAUCCCAUAUAUUUCAAAAACAAGUAAAUUAUGAUACCAGUUAGAGAUAUUUGUCUGUUUAUAUGGGCACAUAAAUGAUAAAGGAAGUCAAUAAAUGAUUGUCUAAAUAGCUGUAAUCACUGGGAGUGAGUGAGGGAGGGAUGUAUGAAGGAGAGAGGCACAUGGGGUUUCUAGGACGCUGGAACUAUUCUAUUUCUUGACGAGUCGUUACGCACAUAUUCAUUUUAUCAUUUUUCUUUAAAGUGUUUACACAUUUUAUGUACUACUCUGUGUAUGUAUCACAUGAUAAAAGCAAAGAAAAAAGCCAGACAGGGAUCCACACUCCCACCAAUGAGGAUGAUUAUGUUGUUCUAUUCUGACCACAUCCAUCAGUAAGCAAUAUAUCAGGGCUGCCUCUCAAAAAAACAAAAAAACAACCAAAAAAAAAAUGAAAA